GUCCACGCCCGUAAACGAUGAUCACUAGGUGGGUGCUGAGCUAUCGGUGCCCGCCGCAGGUAAUUUGCUAAGUGAUCCGCCUGGGGAGUAUGGUCGCAAGGCUGAAACUCAAAGGAAUUGACGGGGGCUCACACAAGCGGUGGAGGAUGUGGUUUAAUUCGAAGCAAACGCGCAGAACCUUACCAGGUCUUGACAUACCGGGAUUAGUUCCGUGAAAGCGGGAUGAUUACUGUCAAAAAGUGUAACCGGAACAGGUGCUGCAUGGCUGUCGU
rnacentral:rRNA from 1 species